ACCGCUGGCUACGUCCCUUCCGUCUUCAAGAGAGCGAGAGUUGCACCCCUUCUGAAAAAACCUACACUCGAUCCCUCCGAUGUCAACAACUACAGACCAGUAUCCCUUCUUUCUUUUCUCUCCAAAACUCUUGAACGUGCCGUCCUUGGCCAGCUCUCCUGCUAUCUCUCUCAGAAUGACCUUCUUGAUCCAAAUCAGUCAGGUUUCAAGACUAGUCAUUCAACUGAGACUGCUCUUCUCUGUGUGACGGAUGCGCUCCGCACUGCUUAAGCUAACUCUCUCUCCUCUGCUCUCAUCCUUCUAGACCUAUCGGCUGCCUUUGAUACUGUGAACCAUCAGAUCCUCCUCUCCACCCUCUCCGAGUUGGGCAUCUCCGGCGCGGCCCACGCUUGGAUUGCGUCCUACCUGACAGGUCGCUCCUACCAGGUGGCGUGACGAGAAUCUGUCUCCGCACCACGUGCUCUCACCACUGGUGUCCCCCAGGGCUCUGUUCUAGGCCCUCUCCUAUUCUCGCUAUACACCAAGUCACUUGGCUCUGUCAUAUCCUCACAUGGUCUCUCCUAUUAUUGCUAUGCAGACGACACACAAUUAAUCUUCUCCUUUCCCCCUUCUGAUAACCAGGUGGCGAAUUGCAUCUCUGCAUGUCUGGCAGACAUAUCAGUGUGGAUGACGGAUCACCACCUCAAGCUGAACCUCGGCAAGACGGAGCUGCUCUUCCUCCCGGGGAAGGACUGCCCGUUCCAUGAUCUCGCCAUCACGGUUGACAACUCCAUUGUGUCCUCCUCCCAGAGUGCUAAGAACCUUGGCGUGAUCCUGGACAACACCCUGUCAUUCUCAACUAACAUCAAGGCGGUGACCCGUUCCUGUAGGUUCAUGCUCUACAACAUUCGCAGAGUACGACCCUGCCUCACACAGGAAGCGGCCCAGGUCCUAAUCCAGGCACUUGUCAUCACCCGUCUGGAUUACUGCAACUCGCUGUUGGCUGGGCUCCUUGCCUGUGCCAUUAAACCCCUACAACUCAUCCAGAACGCCGCAGCCCGUCUGGUGUUCAACCUUCCCAAGUUCUCUCACGUCACUCCGCUCUCUCCACUGGCUUACAGUUGAAGCUCGCAUCCACUACAAGACCAUGGUGCUUGCCUACGGAGCUGUGAGGGGAACGGCACCUCCGUACCUUCAGGCUCUGAUCAGGCCCUACACCCAAACAAGGGCACUGCGUUCAUCCACCUCUGGCCUGCUCGCCUCCCUACCUCUGAGGAAGUACAAUUCCCGCUCAGCCCAGUCAAAACUGUUCACUGCUCUGGCACCCCAAUGGUGGAACAAACUGAAUGCACCAAUUUGUAAGUCGCUCUGGAUAAGAGCGUCUGCUAAAUGACUUAAAUGUAAAUGUAAAUGCAGUAGUGAGGCUAUAUACAGGUGGUACCGGUACAGAGUCAAUGUGCGGGGGCACCGGUUAUUAGUCGAGGUAAUUGAGGUAAUAUGUAGAGGUAAAGUGACUAUGCGUGGAUAAUAAACAGAGAGUAGCAGCAGCGUAAAAAUGGGGGUGGGGGGAACAAUGCAAAUAGUCCUGGUAGUCAUUUGAUUAGCUAUUCGGGAGUCUUAUGGCUUGGGGGUAGAAGCUGUUAAGAAGCCUUUUGGAUAAAGACAUUGGAUAAAUGCAUUUAUACACAUACAGUAAUUCACAAUCUCCAAUCAUGCUGGUGCUGUGGCCGGGGCUGGAAACCGUGCUAGUACUGGGGCCGGGACUAGUACUGGGACGGGAACCGGUAACCGGGAACUGGUGUUGGUGCAGGUGCUGGGUUGGAUCUGGGACUGUAGAGGGGAGGAAUGACAACCUGAGGAGCAAGCAGGCACACAAGGGAGUCCAAGACCGUAAGGUUAGGGCUGGCACCUUCCUGUGGCCUGCUCACUCUGGGUGAAGGUUCGAUCUUUGGUCCCCUCUCCGCACCUCGAGUGGUGGUCAGGUGCUGAGGUUAGUGCUGGGACUGGUGUUGGAUCUGCAGAGGGGAGGAAGGACAACCCAAGGAGCAAGCUGGCACACAAGGAAGCCCUAGACCCGGAGGUUGGUGGUGGCACUCCCCUGUGGCCUGCUCGCUCCGAGUGAAGGUCCGAUCUUUAGUCUCCCCUCCGUCCCUCUUCCAGUGUUCUGGUGCUGGAUACCAGGAACUGGGUUGGUGCUGGGUCUGGAAUUGGUGCUGGAACUAUAAAGGGGAGGAAAGGCAACCUGAGGAGCAAUAAGGCACACAAGGAAGCCCUAGACCCGGAGGUCAGUGAUGGCACUCCUUGUGGCCUGCUCAACCAGGGUGAAGGGCUGGGGGUGGAGAGUGACGUGGGUCGUGGUGAAGGGGCAAUGCUGCGAUGAGGCUGGAGGACGGGUCUGGGGUCCGGUGUUGGUCCGGGCAGCAUGGAGGGCAGUUUAGAUGUUAAUGCCCUUCCAUCUUGCAGCUCUGUGUGCCCAUAGGGUAAAAUAUGCAGUGUUUCUUAGCCGGGUCCUUCUGGGUGGUGGCGGCGGCAUGCUGGUCAGGCUCCGAUUGGCUGAUAACAAGGUACCUGUGGAGGUUGUACCUAGGGAGAGCUGGCAGUGUCGGGGAGAUGGGCCGAAGAAUGGAGGAGGUGAAGCACUGCUUGAUCCGUCCAUUAUCCACUCCACUCUGUAUGAUGACAGACACAUUUCUAAGAAAAUAGAUGUUUCCUCCUCCAACUGCUCAUGCAGCCUAAAUAUUUCUCCAUACAGUGCCUUAAUCUCCCUCAUGUUUCCUUGCUCAGUUCUCCAUGUCGCUCUAGCCAAUCUCCAAUGGGCAAGCUCAAGAUCAUGGAUAUCCUCCCGCAUGCUUAGUUCAACCUGGGUCCCCUUCUCAUUGGGCCUCUUCUUUUUCCUCUUUUUUGGGUUUGAAUCUAUGUUUUCCUUGCCCUGCCUACGCACCUUUGGGGCAUGAAGGACAUUUAGAAUAGAACAUGUUAUAUUUUAUUUUGCUCAUUGGGUUAUUAUGUGCAUUCCGUUGAUAUAGAGCAGUGGUUCCCAAACGUUUUAAUGUCCCGUACCCCUUCAAACAUUCAACCUCCAGCUGCGUACCCCUUCUAGCACCAGGGUCAGCGCACUCUCAAAUGUUGUUUUUUGCAAUUUUUUUAAUGUAUUUUUAUUUCACCUUUAUUUAACCAGGUAGGCUAGUUGAAAACAAGUUCUCAUUUACAACUGCAACCUGGCCAAGAUAAAGCAAAGCAGUGUGACACAAACAACAGAGUUACACAUGGAGUAAACAAACAUACAGUCAGUAACACAAUAGAGAAAAAAAUGUCUAUAUACAGUGUGUGCAAAUGAGGUAAGGCAAUAAAUAGGCCAUAGUGGCAAAAUAAUUACAAUUUAGCAAUUAAACACUGGAGUGAUAGAUGUGCAGAAGAUGAAUGUGCAAGUAGAGAGACUGUGGUGCAAAGGAGCAAAAAAAUAAAAUAACAGUAUGGGGAUGAGGUGUUGGAUGGGCUAUUUACAGAUGGGCUAUGUACAGGUGCAGUGAUCUGUGAGCUGCUCAGACAGCUGGUGCUUAAAGUUAGUGAGGGAGAUAUGAGUCUCCAGCUUCAGUGAUUUUUGCAAUUCGUUCCAGUCAUUGGCAGCAGAGAAGGAAAGGCAGCCAAAGGUUGAAUUGGCUUUGGGGGUGACCAGGGAAAUACACCUGCUGGAGCGCGUGCUACGGGUGGGUGCUGCUAUGGUGACCAGUGAGCUGAGAUAAGGCGGGCUUUACCUAGAAAAUACUUAUAGAUGACCUGGAGCCAGUAGGUUUGGCGACGAAUAUAAAGCGAGGGCCAGCCAACGAAAGCAUACCAGUCGCAGUGGUGGGUAGUAUAUGGGGCUUUGGUGACAAAACGGAUGGCACUGUGAUAGACUGCUUCCAAUUUGCUGAGUAGAGUGUUGGAGGCUAUUUUGUAAAUGACAUUGCUGAAGUCGAGGAUCGGCAGGAUAGUCAGUUGUACGAGGGUAUAUUUGGCAGAAUGAGUGAAGGAGGCUUUGUAGCGUAAUAGAAAGCCGAUUCUAGAUUUAAUUUUGGAAUGGAGAUGCUUAAUGUGAGUCUGGAAGGAGAGUUUACAGUCUAACCAGACACCUAGGUAUUUGUAGUUGUCCACAUAUUCUAAGUCAGAACCGUCCAGAGUUGUGAUGCUGGACGGACGGGCAGGUGCGGGCAGAGUUCGGUUGAAGAGCAUGCAUUUAGUUUUACUUGCAUUUAAGAGCAGUUGGAGGCCACGGAAGGAGUGUUGUAUGGCAUUUAAGCUCAUCUGGAGGUUAGUUAGCACAGAGUCCAAAGAAGGAACAGAAGUAUACAGAAUGGUGUCGUCUGCGUAGAGGUGGAUCAGCGAAUCACCAGCAGCAAGAGUGACACCUCCGAUUUGACACACUGAACUCUGUCUGAGUAGUAGUUGGUGAACCAGGCGAGGCAGUCAUUUGAGAAACCAAGGCUGUUGAGUCUGCUGAUAAGAAUGUGGUAAUUGACAGAGUCUUAAGCCUUGGCCAGGUCUAUGAAUACAGCUGCACAGUAUUGUCUCUAAUUGAUGGCGGUUAUGAUAUCGUUUAGGACCUUGAGCGUGGCUGAGGUGCACCCAUGACCAGCUCGGAAACCAGAUUGCAUAGCGUAGAAGGUACGGUGGGAUUCGAAAUGCUCGAUGAUCUGUUUGUUAACUUGGCUUUCGAAAACCUUAGAAUGGCAGGGUAGGAUAGAUGUAGGUCUGUAGCCGUUUGGGUCUAGAGUGUCUCCCACUUUGAAGAGGGGGAUGACCGCGGCAGCUUUCCAAUUUUUGGGGAUCUCUGACGAUACAAAAGAGAGGUUGAACAGGCUAGUGUUGCAACACUUUCGGCUGAUAAUUUUAGAAAGAGAGGGUCCAGAUUGUCUAGCCCGGCUGAUUUGUAGGGGUCCAGAUUUUGCAGCUCUUUCAGAACAUCAGGUAUCUGGAUUUUGGUGAAGGAGAAAUGGGGGAGGCUUGGGCAAGUUGCUGUGGGGGGUGCAGGGCUGUUGACCAGGGUAGGGGUAGCCAGGUGGAAAGCAUGGCCAGCCGUAGAAAAAUUCUUAUUGAAAUUCUCAAUUAUUGUGGAUUUAUCGGUGUUGACAGUGUUACCUAGCCUCAUUGCAGUGGGCAGCUGGGAGGAGGUGCUCUUAUUCUUCAAGGAUUUUACAGUGUCCCAGAACUUUUUGGAGUUUGUGCUGCAGGUUGCAAAUUUCUGUUUGAAAAAGCUAGCCUUUGCUUUCCUGACUGCCUGUGUAUAUUGGUUCCUAACUUCCCUGAAAAGUUGCAUAUCGUGGGGGCUAUUUGAUGCUAAUGCCGUGCGCCACAGGAUGUUUUUGUGCUGGUCAAGGGCAGUCAGGUCUGGAGUGAACCAAGGGCUUUUUCUGUUCCUGGUUCUAAAUGUUUUCAAUGGGGCAUGCUUAUUUAGAAUUGUGAGGAAAGCACUUUUAAAGAAUAACCAGGCAUCUUCUACUGACUGAAUGAGGUCAAUAUCCUUCCAUGAUACCGGGGCCAGGUCGAUUAGAAAGGCCUGCUUGCUGAAGUGUUUUAGGGAGCGUUUCACAGUGAUGAGGGGUGGUUGUUUGACCACAGACCCAUUACGGACGCAAGCAAUGAGGCAGUGAUCGCUGAGAUCCUGGUUGAAGACAGCAGAGGUGUAUUUGGAGGGCAGGUUGGUUAGGAUGAUAUCUAUGAGGGUGCCUGUGUUUACGGAUUUGGGGUUGUUCAUUGAUAAUUUGUGUGAGAUUGAGGGCAUCAAGCUUAGAUUGUAGGAUGGCUGGGGUGUUAAGCAUGUCCCAGUUUAGGUCACCUAACAGCACGAGCUCUGAAGAUAGAUGGGGGGCAAUCAAUUCACAUAUGGUGUCCUGGGCACAGCUAGGGGAAGAAGGUGGUCUAUAGGAAGCGGCAACGGUGAGAGACUUGUUUCUGGAAAGGUGGAUUUUUAAAAGUAUAUGCUCAAAUUGUUUGGGCACAGACCUGGAUAGUAAGACAGAACUCUGCAGGCUAUCUCUGCAGUAGAUUGCAACAUCGCCCCCUUUGGCAGUUCUAUCUUGUCGGAAAAUGUUAUAGUUAAGGAUGGAAAUGUCAGGGUUUUUGGUGGCCUUCCUAAACUAGGAUUCAGACACAGCUUGGACAACAGGGUUGGCGGAGUUUGCUAAAGCAGUGAAUAAAACAAACUUAGGGAGGAGGCUUCUAAUGUUAACAUGCAUGAAACCAAGGCUUUUACAGUUACAAAAGUCAACAAAUGAGAGGGCCUGGGGAAUGGGAGUGGAGCAAGGCACUGCAGGGCCUGGAUUAACCGCUACAUCACCAGAGGAGCAGAGGAGGAGUAGGAUAAGAGUACGUCUAAGGGCUAUAAGAACUGGUCGUCUAGUACAUUCGGAACAGAGAGUAAAAGGAGCAUGUUUCUGGGCGCGGUAGAAUAGAUUCAAUACAUAAUGUACAGUCGUGGGUAAAAAAAAAUUAAAUGACACAAAUAUUAAUUUUCACAAAGUCUGCUGCCGCCGUUUGUAUGAUGGCAAUUUGCAUAUACUCCAGAAUGUUAUGAAGAGUGAUUAGAUAAAUUGCAAUUAAUUGCAAAGUCCCUCUUUGCCAUGCAAAUGAACUGAAUCCCCCAAAAACAUUUCCACUGCAUUUCAGCCCUGCCACAAAAGGACCAGCUGACAUCAUGUCAGUGAUUCUCUCAUUAACACAGGUGUGAGUGUUGACGAGGACAAGGCUGGAGAUCACUCUGUCAUUCUGACUGAGUUUGAAUAUCAGACUGGAAGCUUCAAAAGGAGGGUGGUGCUUGGAAUCAUUGUUCUUCCUCUGUCAACCAUGGUUACCUGCAAGGAAACACGUGCCGUCAUCAUUGCUUUGCACAGAAAGUGCUUCACAGGCAAGGAUAUUGCUGCCAGUAAGAUUGCACCUAAAUCAGCCAUUUAUCAGAUCGUCAAGAACUUCAAGGAGAGUGGUUCAAUUGUUAUGAAGAAGGCUUCUGGGCGCCCAAGAAAGUCCAGCAAGCGCCAGGACCGUCUCCUAAAGUUGAUUCAGCUGCGGGAUCGGGGCACCACCCGUACAGAGCUUGCUCAGGAAUGGCUGCAGGCAGGUGUGAGUGCAUCUGCACGCACAGUGAGGCGAAGACUUUGAGGAUUUGCCUGGUGUCAAGAAGGGCAGCAAAGAAGCCACUUCUCUCCAGGAAAAACAUCAGGGACAGACUGAUAUUCUGCAAAAGGUACAGGGAUUGGACUGCUGAGGAGUGGGGUAAAGUCAUUUUCUCUGAUGAAUCCCCUUUCUGAUUGUUUGGGGCAUCCGGAAAAAAGCUUGUCCGGAGAAGACAAGGUGAGCUCUACCAUCAGUCCUGUGUCAUGCCAACAGUAAAGCAUCCUGAGACCAUUCAUGUGUGGGGUUGCUUCUCAGCCAAGGAAGUGGGCUCACUCACAAUUUUGCCUAAGAACACAGCCAUGAAUAAAGAAUGGUACCACACAUCCUCCGAGAGCAACUUCUCCCAACCAUCCAGGAACAGUUUGGUGACGAACAAUGACUUUUCCAGCAUGAUGGAGCACCUUGACCUAAGGCAAAAGUGAUAACUACGUGGCUCUGGGAACAAAACAUCGAUAUUUUGGGUCCAUGGCCAGGAAACUCCCCAGACCUUAAUCCCAUUGAGAACUUGUGGUCAAUCCUCAAGAGGCGGGUGGACAAACAAAAACCCACAAAUUCUGACAAACUCCAAGCAUUGAUUACGCAAGAAUGGGCUACCAUCAGUCAGGAUGUGGCCCAGAAGUUAAUUGACAGCAUGCCAGGGCAGAUUGCAGAGGUCUUGAAAAAGAAGGGUCAACACUGCAAAUAUUGGCUCUUUGCGUCAACUUCAUGUAAUUGUCAAUAAAAGCCUUUGACACUUAUGAAAUGCUUGUAAUUUUAAUUCAGUAUUCCAUAGUAACAUCUGACAAAAAUAUCUAAAGACACUGAAG
rnacentral:lncRNA from 1 species